CCCAACAACACCCAGCUUCAACAAUUAUCAAUCAAGGCCACUUUUAUAUCAUGCAAACUGCUCUAGAUGGAUCUAGUCCAUUUUAAUCUAGUUAUUUUGGUCACAAGGGUAGGUAUUUUCUUAUAGGAGAGGGAAUUCGGGAUUUAGAGUCUGAAAAUGUGUUUCACCUUUGAUUAAAUGUAUGACCUUGGGCAGGUCACUUAAUUCUUUUGAUCCUCAGUAAAAUGAAGAUCUUUCAUCUGUAAAAUAAAAUUGAUAACACUGGCUACACAUACAAAAAGUGUACAGGCAGUGAGAUGUCUGUGAAAGAGGCUCAAAAAGGAAGCACUAUGUAAACACCUGCCACUGUGUACAGCACCAGGUGUGGCUCAACAAACAUUUAUUGAGGUUAUUGUUAAGUAUUAGGUCAUGCCAAAAAAAAAAGAGAAAACCCAACUCUUCAAUUUUAGGUUGCACCAUUGAGCUUCUCUUGUCACAUUGCAAAUGUGGUCACUAAGGCAACUGGGCCAGACAGAAUGGAUGACUCAUCCUGCUCCAACCUAGUAUGCACAUCCUGUUGGUCCAGGAGAGUCACUUCUCAUACCACAUGUCCUUGUUCAAUGUCAAGGCCUGGAAAAUGUCAAAUCAUGUCAAAAGUCUCCAGUCCUAUAUCUCCGUGAAGGUUCAGAGUGAGAACUGCAGAGCCAGUGGGCAAGACCUGAAAAUUAUAUUUUGAAAAAGCAGCUGUUGUGAACACAAGCCAAAUCACCCUUUCAAAAAGAAUUUGGAGGUAAGUCUCAGAUACAGAAUUUAAAGCUGCAAGAGGAGACUAUAGGUGAAUGCCUGACCCAAAGGUUGGUCCGAAAACUAUUUUGACUACAGCCAGAGAGAUGCUAUUUCUUCCUUAUUUUUCUUCCCUUACAGAGAAGAGAAUUUUAGAAUUUCAUCUUUGCCCUAACCUCUGCCUCCUGGUGGCCCAUGAAAACAAUAUUGUCCUGCUCAGCAGGGCAAAGCCUCCUAUUUCCAGCUGUCCUUUACCCAUCCCGUAGCUCCACACUGAGGUCCCCGCUGUAGAUGGAUUUCUCAGCCAGUGAUUUUCUCACUACUGAGCCCCAGCUGUUUUGCAUCCGUGGAGCACAUGAGGGCGAGAGCAGAAAUGAAAGGACCAAGGCAGUGUCAGUGCACUAGGGUCCAGGUCACUGGUGAUUCCAGUUUUUAAUGAACAUGGAGUCCAGGGACCUGAAAGGAAGGUCAGAGUUCACAGAAGAGUAAGCACAAUAUGCGUCUGGAUUAUUAAAUCCUCACUGUGCAGACAUCACUGUUCCUCAAUACCCAUUCCUCUCAGGGGUUCAGUGUUGCCCUGAGCAGUCAGGGCUCCUGAUCUCCUGGAAGCCUUUGACUUCAUGCUGUCAAAGGAGUAUGAAGGACAUUUGACAACUGGGUUAUGUCCUAAGAAUUUGAUUCCCACUCUGACUCUCCAGGUUUCUGACUUCUCCUUUUCCCCAGAAAGAAUCCAUAACCAAGUCUCCAAAGUGGCUCCAGGAGAAAGAUGUGGCCUGCAGAAGGGAAGUCUUACUCAGAGGUCUAUUCUGGCCUCUGCUUAAUUCAGCUGUUCCCCGUAUUUUCAUUUGGUCAUGCCUUUGAAUUUCAGAGAUCUUGACUUCCUGGUUCCAUCACUGGAAAGAAUACGUUUGCUGGUGGGAAGCAGUCUUUAUUUCUUCCACUUCAGAGUUGUUUUCUUUAUCGGCUUCUAGGAGAAGAUACUAUCCACUUCUCUCCCUCUUUUUUUUUGAAAGAGGGUCUCACUCUGUCACCCAGGCUUGAGUGCAGUGGCAUGAUUUGGCUUAUUGCAAACUCAACCUCCUGGGCUCAAGUGAUCCUUCCACCUCAGCCUCUUGAGUAGCUGGGACUAUAGUUGCACACCACCACACCCAGCUAAUUUUUGUAAUUUGUUUAGAGACGGGGUCUUGCCCCAUUGCCCAGGCUGGUCUCAAACUCCUGGACUCAAGCAACC
rnacentral:lncRNA from 1 species